rnacentral:rRNA from 1 species
GACGAACGCUGGCGGCGUGCUUAACACAUGCAAGUCGAACGAAGUGGCGAACGGGUGAGUAAUACGUGAGUAACCUGCCCUCCUUUUUGGGAUAAGCCUUGGAAACGGGGUCUAAUACCGAAUAAAGGGGGAUGGGCUCGCGGCCUAUCAGCUUGGUGGUGGGGUGAUGGCCUACCAGGGCGGUGACGGGUAGGCGGCCUGGGAGGGUGACCGGCGAAAUUGGAACUGGGCUACGGUCCAGACUGAUGCGGGAGGCGGGAGUGGGGGAUAAUGGACGAAGGGCGGAAGCAGGAAGGAGCGGCGCGGCGAGGGGGAUGAAGGCUUUCAGGUUGUAGAUCUCUGUGGAUAUCGAACGGGUAGGUGGAGAAGAAGCGCCGGCUAACUACGUGCCAGCAGCCGCGGUAAUUC